GACGAACGCUGGCGGCGGGCUUAACACAUGCAAGUCGAACGGAAAGGCCCUACAUUUGGGGGGUUGGCUAGUGACGAACGGGUGAGUAAGAAGUGAAUAAGCUUCCGUUGACUUGUGGGGAACUUCAUGAAACUGGGGCGAAUACCAGAGAAUAGCUCCUGCUGCAGGGAGGGGGUUGGAAAGUUUAGGCGGGUGGGGCGGGACGCGCGGCUUAUCAUCGUGUGGGUGGGGGAGUGGCGUACCAAGGCGUGGACGGGUAGCCGGCCUGAGAGGGUGACCGGCGCCAUGGGGACUGCGAUACGGACCAGACUGCUACGGGAGGCAGUAGUGGGGAAUAUUGCCCAAUGGGCGGAAGUCUGAUGCAGCAACGCCGCGUGUGGGAUGCCGGCUUUCGGGUUGUAAACCGCUUUCGCCUGUGACGAAGUGUGCGUGACGGUAAUGAGUAAAUAAGCACCGGCUAACUACGUG
rnacentral:rRNA from 1 species